CUUGAAUAUCUAUAAGAGGUCCAGCCUGCCCAGUGACUCUGUUCAACGGCCGCGGUAUCCUAACCGUGCGAAGGUAGCGUAAUCACUUGUUCUUUAAAUGAGGACUAGUAUGAAUGGCACCACGAGGGUUAUACUGUCUCCUUUUUCUAAUCAGUGAAACUAAUCUCCCCGUGAAGAAGCGGGGAUUAAAAUAUAAGACGAGAAGACCCUAUGGAGCUUUAAACUUAAUAACAAGUACUAUCUUUUAUUUAACUUUCAGAACAUAUACCUUUAUUCUAGUAUUAUGAUUAUUAGUUUUAGGUUGGGGUGACCGCGGAGCAAAAAUUAACCUCCACAUUGAACGGAACUCAUUCCUGAGCAAAAAGCCACGACUUUAAGCACCAACAAAUUGACAUCAAUUGACCCAAUAUUUUGAUCAACGAAC
rnacentral:rRNA from 1 species